GAUAGAGUUUUCCCCUUCGGGGGACAGAGUGACAGGUGGUGCAUGGUUGUCGUCAGCUCGUGUCGUGAGAUGUUGGGUUAAGUCCCGCAACGAGCGCAACCCUUAAGCUUAGUUGCCAUCAUUAAGUUGGGCACUCUAAGUUGACUGCCGGUGACAAACCGGAGGAAGGUGGGGAUGACGUCAAAUCAUCAUGCCCCUUAUGAUUUGGGCUACACACGUGCUACAAUGGACAAUACAAAGGGCAGCGAAACCGCGAGGUCAAGCAAAUCCCAU
rnacentral:rRNA from 1 species